rnacentral:rRNA from 1 species
AUUGAACGCUGGCGGCAUGCCUUACACAUGCAAGUCGAACGGCAGCAUGAUCUUGCUUGCUAGAUUGAUGGCGAGUGGCGAACGUGUGAGUAAUACAUCGGAACGUGCCCUGUAGUGGGGGAUAACUAGUCGAAAGAUUAGCUACUACCGCAUACGACCUGAGGGUGAAAGUGGGGGACCGCAAGGCCUCAUGCUAUAGGAGCGGCCGAUGUCUGAUUAGCUAGUUGGUGAGGUAAAGGCUCACCAAGGCGACGAUCAGUAGCUGGUCUGAGAGGACGAUCAGCCACACUGGGACUGAGACACGGCCCAGACUCCUACGGGAGGCAGCAGUGGGGAAUUUUGGACAAUGGGCGAAAGCCUGAUCCAGCAAUGCCGCGUGUGUGAAGAAGGCCUUCGGGUUGUAAAGCACUUUUGUCCGGAAAGAAAUGGCUCUGGUUAAUACCUGGGGUCGAUGACGGUACCGGAAGAAUAAGGACCGGCUAACUACGUG